rnacentral:misc_RNA from 1 species
CUUAUUUUGUUAGUUUGGCAAUUUUGGGACAAUUCAGGUCACGUGCUUCCUAGGGCUCAAGUAUGGAAGCAAAUCAUGGGUGGUUAAAUGGUCCUUCCAUAGUGUUGGUAAAAAAAAGCUCAGCAACAAACACUUCUUUUUCCAUCAGUUCUUUCCUUUCUGGAGAUCAUAAAAUAAUGUGUUUUGUCUGAUAAGUCUGGGUUACAGGCAACUGUUUUGAUAACCCCACCUUCUGAUAUUUGAUCGGAGUGGAAAUGAUGGAUGAUAGCAUUGUCUGUUGACUACAAUCUUGAUGAAUCUAGUAAUUGUCCCCUGAUGUCCAUACAUGCUCUAGAAUUUGUGCUGGGGUCUCUUGCCUUAACCAGGAAAUGUGAGUUUCCUGACCAGUUCCUUACAUUCCCUUUCUGAUAAUCUAUCACCAUUUGGUGUUCACUGGUGGACGGUCUACUUCAUGAAAUGUCUUAUAAUUUUCUUGAUGGUUUAUUUAUUUUAAAAAUUUUGAAUCGCAUUAUGUAUCAACAUCUGGUUCUUAAUGUUUUAUUCUUUUCUUCUUUGAAAUUUUAG